AAUCAUUAGCCUCUUAAUUAGAGGCUGGAAUGAAUGGUUUAACGUUUCCUUAACUUUUUUAAAAAUUUUAAACAAAUUUAUAUUAAAUAUAAAAAUAUAUUUAUAUACUAACUAGACGACAAGACCCUUUCAAACUUUACUGAAGUUAAGCUGGGGUAGCUUAAUAAUUAAUAUCUUAUUAUCUUUCCUAAAAAUAGACCCAGUUCAAAUUGAUUAAAUGAACAAGUUACUGAAGGGAUAACAGCAUAAUAAAUUUAUAUAGCUCUUAUUAAAAAAUUAGUUUAUGACCUCGAUGUUGAAUUAUAUUACUUCUACGCGCAAGAGUGUAGAAAGUAGGUCUGUUCGACCUUUAAAUUUU
rnacentral:rRNA from 1 species